CCUACGGGGGGCAGCAGUGGGGAAUAUUGGACAAUGGGGGCAACCCUGAUCCAGCCAUGCCGCGUGUGUGAAGAAGGCCCUCGGGUUGUAAAGCACUUUCAGUGAGGAAGAACGCCUGGUGGUUAAUACCCAUCAGGAAAGACAUCACUCACAGAAGAAGCACCGGCUAACUCCGUGCCAGCAGCCGCGGUAAUACGGAGGGUGCGAGCGUUAAUCGGAAUUACUGGGCGUAAAGCGCGCGUAGGUGGCUUGAUAAGCCGGUUGUGAAAGCCCCGGGCUCAACCUGGGAACGGCAUCCGGAACUGUCAAGCUAGAGUGCAGGAGAGGAAGGUAGAAUUCCCAGUGUAGCGGUGAAAUGCGUAGAGAUCGGGAGGAAUACCAGUGGCGAAGGCGGCCUUCUGGACUGACACUGACACUGAGGUGCGAAAGCGUGGGUAGCAAACAGGAUUAGAUACCCGAGUAGUC
rnacentral:rRNA from 1 species